AACGAACGCUGGCGGCAUGCCUAACACAUGCAAGUCGAACGAGACCUUCGGGUCUAGUGGCGCACGGGUGCGUAACGCGUGGGAACCUGCCCUUAGGUUCGGAAUAACUCCCCGAAAGGGGUGCUAAUACCGGAUAAUGUCUUCGGACCAAAGAUUUAUCGCCUUUGGAUGGGCCCGCGUUGGAUUAGCUAGUUGGUAGGGUAAAAGCCUACCAAGGCGACGAUCCAUAGCUGGUCUGAGAGGAUGAUCAGCCACACUGGGACUGAGACACGGCCCAGAAUCAUACGGGAGGCAGCAGUGGGGAAUAUUGGACAAUGGGCGAAAGCCUGAUCCAGCACUGCCGCGUGAGUGAUGAAGGCCUUAGGGUUGUAAAGCUCUUUUACCCGGGAUGAUAAUGACAGUACCGGGAGAAUAAGCUCCGGCUAACUCCGUG
rnacentral:rRNA from 1 species